GGGUCAAUGCCCGAGUGGUUAAUGGGGAUGGAUUGUAAAUCCAUUGGUUUAUGCCUACGCUGGUUCAAAUCCAGCUUGGCCCA
rnacentral:tRNA from 3 species